AACGAACGCUGGCGGCAGGCCUAACGCAUGCAAGUCGAACGCCGUAGCAAUACGGAGUGGCAGACGGGUGAGUAACACGUGGGAACCUUCCCGAUGGUACGGAAUAGCUCAGGGAAACUUGGGGUAAUACCGUAUAAGCCCGAAAGGGGAAAGAUUUAUCGCCAUUGGAUGGGCCCGCGUCGGAUUAGCUAGUUGGUGAGGUAAUGGCUCACCAAGGCGACGAUCCGUAGCUGGUCUGAGAGGACGACCAGCCACACUGGGACUGAGACACGGCCCAGACUCCUACGGGAGGCAGCAGUGGGGAAUAUUGGACAAUGGGCGAAAGACCUGAUCCAGCCAUGCCGCGUGAGUGAUGAAGG
rnacentral:rRNA from 1 species